rnacentral:rRNA from 1 species
UACGGGGGGGGCAAGCGUUGUUCGGAAUUACUGGGCGUAAAGGGCGCGUAGGCGGUUCGAUAAGUCAGCUGUGAAAACCAUGGGCUUAACUCAUGGCCUGCAGUUGAGACUGUCGGGCUGGAGUGUGGGAGAGGAGAGUGGAAUUCCUGGUGUAGCGGUGAAAUGCGUAGAUAUCAGGAGGAACACCGGUGGCGAAGGCGGCAUCCUGGACCGGCAUUGACGCUGAGGAGCGAAAGCCAGGGGAGCAAACGGG